GAGCUUCAGACCAUAUUUUGCGCUCUCCUCUUUCACCCUUUGUUGCAAAGAUUACAUAAAUUGAUGGUUCAAGUCUACAGAAGCAGAUCCUUACAAACUAUCAACAGCAAAAAAUAUUGAGAAGGUUAAGUAGGACUUUACAAACUGUAUUUCAUCAAUCCAUAUGGUAGCUUAUCGUGCCAUUUUACGAAUGGGGAACUAAGGCUGAGAGAAAGUGAAGUUAAGUUAGACCUUUUGGCAUUUGUUCCUACAGCUCCUUUGCCAUGGAAUACAUAUUUUCUGCAGCUUCUUCCCUAGGCCUACUCUUGCCAAUGCUUUUUGGUGCUAGGAAUGCCUGCAGAAAAAAAUGCUUUCUGAAAGAGCUUUCCUUUCCUAAAACCAUUUCAUCUCUGUUGUUAAUGAUACAGAUGCUAGAAGGACACUCAAGAGAAAAGGCCGCUGCUAAAACACCACUUUCAAACUCUCUGAGCAUUUCCUUACAACCACUUCACUUCUAGCUUUUGUUUAGAAUCUGUGACAUGAACACAAAAAACCGAGUGGCCAACAAGAGUCUAAGUCUCAGACAUAUAUUCUUGCCCCCAUUUCACAAGCCAUGCACGAACACAGACCAAGCUCAUAAUAACAAUAAACUAUGACGGCUGUGCAUCUCUCCACCUACGUAAGCUUCAGCAUCAUGCUGAUAGAUCCGCCCAGAGGUUGUUUAUCUAACCUGUCCUCUUUUAAGAAAACUUUCCCAAGCUUGUUACUCUCUACUAUGGCCAAUUAACUUGGGGAAAAGCAGAAGAAAUAAACAGUUAUCAGACUCUUGCAUUUGAGGGCCCCUGCGGACGUACUUUUUAUCAAGCAUUCAUCAUGGUCUGUGCUCACGUAAUCAGGGCGGUUAUAUGCAAUCACAAUUCCAACACCGUUGGCACCUGCAAAAGUUUUUGGUUGGUCAUAAUACUUCGUUUGUAGUAGGUGCAUGUCCUGCAGGAAAACUCUGUAACUUUUCAUACCACUAAUGUCCCAGGGGGUGGGGAGUGUUGUCCCACUUCUGCUGUGCACAAGAGUAGCCCUCCAGAUGGCAAUAAUAUAGUUACACUGGGGACUUCAGGGGAUAAGCUCAGGGUCUCAGAACCUGGAGCAGACAGUCCUUUAGAUGCUCUGAUCCAAAAUCAUUUAUAAUCUUUAAAAGUUAAUGAUCAGCACUUUGAACUAUGCCCAGAAAUGAACCAGAAGUCAUUGUGGCUCUUUUAAUGAGACUUGCAAGCUUCCAAGGUCUAGUUCAUAUCAGCUUUCUGACUGCCACAGUAUGGGACUGCUGAAGUUUCCAAACACACCUCAGAAGUAGCUGCACAUAGAGCACAUUGCAGUCAUCCAGUCUUGAUGUAACUAAGACGUGUGUAGCCCCAACCAGACUGGACCACUCCAGGAAUAGACACACUGACGUACCAGCCUAAGCUGGGCAAAGUCACUCCUAGCCACCACCUGAGCAUCAAGGAACGAGGAGGCAGGAUCCAGGAAUACUUCACAAGUGCAAACCUGAGUCUUCAAGGAAGUGUUACCCCAUCCAAGAUGGGUUGAUUUCCUCUUUCCAUAUCAGCAGUCCUGACAUUUGCGCACUUUCAGACAACCUGUUUAUUGAGCAUUCAUCCUAGUUUGUUUCUGAGGUUAGGCAGCAUUGCACCAAGAAAGGGCCGGUAUGUGAUUGAAUCCUACUGUAAAAUAGUAAUAGUCUAGCAGCCCCCAUUGUCUUCUCUGGGUUAAAUUUCAAUUUAUUAACAUCCAUCCAGUACAUUACUACUUUCAGACAAUGGCUCAGAACGUUUACAUGAACCAGAUACCCUAUGCCAGAGAAAGCAGGAAGAGUGGAAAUGAGAAAUGAGUUAGACAGGUGUAAAAUGAGAUAAAUUGUGGUGGAGCAGUCCCCCGAGACUUAGAACCAGCAAUAAACUUUGCUAGGGGUCUCCAAGAUCUGGGUUAAAAGAUGACUAUCCUUCCCUAGGAUAGUCAAUAUUUCAAACAUAUUCUCAUGAAACUUUCCUGGGAGAUUAAACCCACCUGACUAAAAGGCCUGUGAUUUCUUGAGCGGAGAAGAACCAAAGAGUUCUGUAUUUCACAGCAGUUCCCACCUCUCACAGGCCACAGGUCUCUGAGUAAUGAAAAUGUCUCCAUCGCAGUAUCAACAAACAUUCAUUGGGAAAUGUGUAAUGCAGAGCAAAGGGUACACACAUUGAUUAGAAAUGAAGUAAACUGGCUUGGAUGACAUAACUGUCAACAUGAACCUUCACCUAAAAUUUCUAAUCCAACCAAUUUGAAUCUUUGUUUAAAUCUCACAUCCACCCAUUAAGAUUUUAUAAAAUCAAAAACAUCAAUAUUUUUCUUCCAAUUUUCUCUUUACUCAGUGCUUUAUCCUUCCAGAGGUCACCCAAAAGUCACCUGCUCUGGCCAAUUUAGAAGGAUCAGAAUAACAUUGGGGAAUUAAUAUCGGAUCUUUUCCAAGCUGGCAACUAUCAGUAACUGCCUGAAAACGUGAAUCAAACUCUGUAAAGUGUGCAAAGGGAAGGCUUGGAGAAAACAUCAGUAAAAAGAUGUGCAAUCGGUGAAGCCACCCAAAACAGGGAAGCUAAAAUUGUACAUUGAUUUCAGAAACUGGAAAGAGAUCCAAUUGGCCUGUUUUUGUUAUUAUUUGUUACUCAGUUUGCCAAAUAAUGUAUACUGAUUUUCUUUUUUCAAAGAAACUAAUAAAUAAAAUACUGUUGCUUCUUCCAGGCUUGAAAGGAAGAAGAAAUUGAUAGUUCAUUAGCAAGACAAGAUGGCGAAAGGAGAAAAGGGAGAACGCAAAUUCUAUUGGGCUUGUCCAUAAGCCACACACAAAGCACAAAGAACUGGAUAGAAGAUUAAAGCCAUCCAGCUGAAGCAGUCAUAAGAAGGCCUAAAGAAGAUCAUCAUGGUGGUACUCACUGAAAAGUGUGGGGGGGACGACCCAGAGAGGGUCAGAUUGGUCUUCCGGGCUACAAUAGUGGAAGCUGGGAUAAGGGAAAGUCAUACCCUGAGCAAUCCUAGUCCAGGCAGGAAGCUUGUUGGAGGAACUACAGAGCUUCCCUACACUUCCUUCAUGAAGCAUGACUGAGAAAAGGCUGAUUUCCUUACCCAGCUCCUUAAGGAAAUGGUACUUCUUGAAUCCAGUCCCCAUCUGUGGGGAAAUGGCUUUCUGAGCUCACUUUCCCCAGGGAGCUUUCCCAAACUGUCUCCAACUAAGAAUUAGUCUAAGAAUUAGUUCCCAUGGUAACGUAUCACCUAUAUUUCCUCAGGUGAAGACGUGCUGAGCCAGACCUGUCCUCAGGUUUCAGGCCCCUUUUCCCUCUCUUGCCCACUCACACCAAGAAUUCAAUAUUUUUAAAUCCCUGUUUUCAACUGUCAUUCACUGAUACUUUUAAUAUUGGGUUUUUGUAAACCACUUAUUCUGACGCUUUUUACAAGCCAUAUAAUAAUUGUUAAAUAGGCAGAUAAAAAUAAGAAAAUUUCCCAAUGCUUAGUGGCAAUCUUCAUUUGAAUGUCAGUUUUUUUCCUUUUCCCUCCUUCCAAAUAUUCUGUUUUCAUAGAGGAAGGACAGUUGAGGAACCAGGUUUUGUUGGCUGAAGGGAUAGCGGUGAAGAAUAGUGCUGAGGGGCUGCAAAUGAAUGUAGGCAUAGGGCUAUGUCCUCCUGAGGAAAAUGUGCUCCUACACAGUGAGAAGGAAAUGAGAUUUGUAGUGGCAGAAACUGCUGGAGGGAAGGGGAUGGUGGUGGGAGGUUUCAGAGAGUUAAGGAAUGUCUCGAAAUAAAGGCAAGUACUAGCACAGUUGCUUUCUAUUUAGGAGCAAAUAUCAGAUAUAUUUAACUGCAGGAUACUCUUGUUAGCUAUCUGGCAUACCAAGUACACAAAUAAUUGCAAUGCCAAAAAUCAUAAUUGCAAAGAUAGCUGCCAAAAAGCAAAAGAACUGAAAACUGAACCAUUCCUGCCACCGCCCCACCACACCCAAGUGGCCAGCACAAUAGCAUUAAAUCUGCACCAGUAAAUGAGGUAAGCACAAAAGGAAUAAGCAGAGGAAAGUGCAAAAUAAGGAAGGCAUACCUAAUAUACAGUGG
rnacentral:lncRNA from 1 species